CAGUCGCCGCGGGAAUACGUAGGGUGCAAGCGUUAAUCGGAAUUACUGGGCGUAAAGCGUGCGCAGGCGGUUUGUUAAGACAGAUGUGAAAUCCCCGGGCUCAACCUGGGAACUGCAUUUGUGACUGGCAAGCUAGAGUAUGGCAGAGGGGGGUGGAAUUCCGCGUGUAGCGGUGAAAUUCGUAGAUAUUCGCAAGAACACCAGUGGCGAAGGCGGCUCACUGGCCCGGUACUGACGCUGAGAUGCGAAAGCGUGGAGAGCAAACAGGAUUAGAUACCCGAGUAGUCCCUGUCUCUUAUAC
rnacentral:rRNA from 1 species